rnacentral:rRNA from 1 species
UGGAAAAAGGGACACACCUGAUACCAUUCCGAACUCAGAAGUUAAGCCUUUUAUCGCCGAUGGUACUAUACACAAGAGUAUGGGAGAGUAGGUCGUCGCCAAGC